UAAUACGGAGGGUGCGAGCGUUGUCCGGAAUCAUUGGGCGUAAAGGGCGCGUAGGUGGCCCAGUCAGCGUGCGGUGAAAGCUCGGGGCUCAACCUCGGGUCGGCCGUGCGAACUACUGGGCUGGAGCACUGUAGAGGCAGGCGGAAUUCCGGGUGUAGCGGUGGAAUGCGUAGAGAUCCGGAAGAACACCGGUGGCGAAGGCGGCCUGCUGGGCAGUUGCUGACACUGAGGCGCGACAGC
rnacentral:rRNA from 1 species